GGCGGCGUGCCUAUCAUGCAGUCGAGCGAAUGGAUUAAGAGCUUGCUCUUAUGAAGUUAGCGGCGGACGGGUGAGUAACACGUGGGUAACCUGCCCAUAAGACUGGGAUAACUCCGGGAAACCGGGGCUAAUACCGGAUAACAUUUUGAACCGCAUGGUUCGAAAUUGAAAGGCGGCUUCGGCUGUCACUUAUGGAUGGACCCGCGUCGCAUUAGCUAGUUGGUGAGGUAACGGCUCACCAAGGCAACGAUGCGUAGCCGACCUGAGAGGGUGAUCGGCCACACUGGGACUGAGACACGGCCCAGACUCCUACGGGAGGCAGCAGUAGGGAAUCUUCCGCAAUGGACGAAAGUCUGACGGAGCAACGCCGCGUGAGUGAUGAAGGCUUUCGGGUCGUAAAACUCUGUUGUUAGGGAAGAACAAGUGCUAGUUGAAUAAGCUGGCACCUUGACGGUACCUAACCAGAAAGCCACGGCUAACUACGUGCCAGCAGCCGCGGUAAUACGUAGGUGGCAAGCGUUAUCCGGAAUUAUUGGGCGUAAAGCGCGCGCAGGUGGUUUCUUAAGUCUGAUGUGAAAGCCCACGGCUCAACCGUGGAGGGUCAUUGGAAACUGGGAGACUUGAGUGCAGAAGAGGAAAGUGGAAUUCCAUGUGUAGCGGUGAAAUGCGUAGAGAUAUGGAGGAACACCAGUGGCGAAGGCGACUUUCUGGUCUGUAACUGACACUGAGGCGCGAAAGCGUGGGGAGCAAACAGGAUUAGAUACC
rnacentral:rRNA from 1 species